rnacentral:misc_RNA from 1 species
CCUGACAGCAGUAGUCAGAACGAAUCGAGAGGAGCAAGCGUUUGGACGUAGUCGGUAUUGGCAAUCGACAAUCGACAAUCGGCAUCGACAUCGGCAAACGGUCGUCUGCGUCGCUGCGUCGCGUAUGCCAUUUGUGCUGCUGCUCUUUCAAAUAGUCGCGGGCCUAACACUCAUUCUAUUUGUUAUUCAUUAUAUUUAUUAUAUAAUUAAUGCAAUUGCCGGCGAUUUACAAUUACAACAACAGCUACAGCAACAGCAACAACAAAUAUUGCAGUUGCAACAAAACGUGUAUUUACAACAAUUGCAACAACCAAUUGUAAAAAAUUAUCGACAACAACGCAUCCCAGUAGCGUCGUCUGCAACAUAUAGAAAAUCGCAUUGUUUUACAGCAACAACAGCAACAACUGGCGAAAAAAUGCAAACAAGCGACGAUGCAAAGUUUAUAAAAAAACGAUGGAAAGGCGGCACAAUCGAACCACAUCCAACGGAUAAGGCAUUAAUUGUCAACUAUCAGCUAGAAGCGACGGUCUUCGGCGAGCAAUCCAGCAAUCCGAUGAUUGAGGAAAAAAAGAAUUGUCAGAAAAUUAUACGCUUACGUUCGUUGAACGCGAAGACAGACCCAGCCGCAUUGGCGCGUGAAGUCGUGGACAAAUGUGAUCUCAUACACAAAUCCCAAUUGGCGGAUGUGGAGCAGAUAAUAUUCUAUCUGAAGAAUCGAAAGGACAAUACUGGUGCAGACAUCGCUGACAAUAACAGUCACCAUCGGUCGGCUGUAUCGGGAAAGCGUACACCGGCCAACAAGGCGAACCCAGCCUCAGCUGUUCUGUCACCCGCUAAGACACCAGCUAGCAAUGCAGAUGUCUCCAUCAAUAAUAUUGAUGAAUAUGUGGAGUUGUUGUACGAGGACUUGAGUGAACGAAUACGUGGUUCAGCAAUGAUCCUGCAAGUGGCACGCAACCCAGAUAAUUUGGAAGAGCUGGAGAAAAAUGAGGCUUGUCUGAGCGCUUUAUCGCGCGUAUUACGAGAGGAUUGGCGCAAGAGUUUAGAUCUAUCCACAAAUAUAAUAUAUAUAUUUUUCUGUUUUUCGACCUAUACGAAAUUUCAUCCCGUUAUUGUGCAAUAUAAGAUUGGUUCCCUCUGCAUGGACGUCAUAGACUAUGAGCUGCGACGUUAUGAAACAAUGCGGAAUGAGUUGGACGUGAGAAAGAAUCCGGUUACCUCUGCACCACUUUCGGCUAAAUCCAGCAAAGAGAAACUGAACCGCAGCACUGAUGAUUUCCUCGAUAUAAUGAAUGAGGAAAAACCAAAGGAAAUGGAACCACCACGUCGUCGCAUACCCGAACUCAAACAACGUCCCAAAUCUGGAAAUUGGUCUAGUUUCCACGGUUCAAUGACUUCCUCCAUGAUGAAAAGUCAAAUACUCAACAGUAGUUAUCAUGAGGCUCUUUCCACCGGUGCUGCCACACCUGACUCGGGCAUUUCAUCGAACGGUGACAUGAAAGCGACCAGCAAUGAGGCGCUCGAUCGCAACGAUCCGAAGGUGAAGAAAGAAGAGAUCGAUCGUCUAAAUAAGCAGUUAAAAGUAUUUGCUAAGAAACAAGAGCAACUAUUACGUGUUGCUUUCUACCUGCUACUUAAUAUGGCCGAGAAUAUUAAAUUGGAGGAAAAGAUGAGACGCAAGCACAUCGUGAAAAUGCUCGUCAAAACAUUGGAUCGACAAAAUAUCGAUCUCUUAAUGUUGGUGACAACAUUUCUGAAAAAGUUAUCUAUCGUACGUGACAAUAAAGAUGAUAUGGGCGAGUUCAAUGUCAUUGCCAAAUUGCCACGCCUAUUCCAAAGUGGUCACACCGAUUUGGCACAAGUGACACUGAAACUGGUCUUUAAUUUAUCAUUUGAUGGUGUGUUGCGACGAAAAAUGGUCGGUGCUGGUUACCUGCCAAAGCUGGUGAUGUUCAUCAAUGAUGAGAAACAUCACGGCAUCGCAAUGAAGAUACUCUAUCACAUGAGCUUAGAUGAUUGGGUUAAAGGCUUAUUCACACACACUGAGUGUGUUCAAAUGGCCACCGAUGCCAUAAUACUCAAUCUGAAUAGCAAGGUUGAUCUCGAUCUCAUCGCACUCUGCAUCAAUCUAUCGCUGAACAAACGUAAUGCACAAAUCAUGGUCGAAGGCAAUCGGCUGCAUGAUCUAAUGGAUCGCGCUUUCAAAUAUCAGGACUCACUAUUAAUGAAACUACUGCGCAAUCUUUCACAACACGAAAUGUUACAACCAAAAUUUAUUGACUAUGUCGGCGAUCUGGCACGCAUUCUCACAAUUUGCGAAGAUGAAUCGUUUGUGGUGGAAUGUCUUGGUAUACUCGGUAAUCUCUCAUUAGCCGAUUUGGAUUACUCACAAAUAUUGCAGAACUUCCAACUAAUACCCUGGAUAAGGGAUGUGCUUGUGCCCGGUGCCAAAUUGGACGAUAUGGUACUCGAUACAAUUGUUUAUUUGGGUACUUGUGCACAUGACGAACUUUGUGCGUUGCUGUUCUGUCGCGCUAAGGUUGUGCUCUCGUUGAUCGAGCUGCUGAAGGCCAAACAAGAGGACGACGAAAUUGUCUUACAGAUCAUUUUCGUAUUCCAACAGAUUUUACGACACGAAAGCACACGCGAAUAUAUGAUCAAAGAGACUGAAUCACCGGCGUAUCUGAUCGAUUUGAUGCAUGACAAGAAUGCCGAGAUACGUAAAGUCUGCGAUUAUUGCCUCGACAUCAUUGCUAUCAGUGACAGUGAGUGGGCCAAACGGAUCAAGCUCGAAAAGUUCCGCAAUCACAAUUCACAGUGGCUUUGUAUGGUUGAAUCGCAGCAAGAUCAAGACAAUGAACAAGACUAUGCUGACAAUGAUGAGAACGAAAACGAACUCGACACCUAUUUGCGCAACGAUUAUUUGGACAACUGCGAUCUCUACAAUAGCAGCAAUACAAAUAAGGAGAGUGAGGAUAAUGAAAGCAACAAUAGCAACAAUCCAGCCAGUCCUGCACUGUCUACCUAUAGUCGCCCAGUGAGCAGGUGAAAGCUGAAAAGUUGUCCGAAAGCUCUAAAAAAAUACGAAUAAAAGAGUUUUAUAUUUAACCUUUUAAAAUUAGCAAGGAAUUAGAAUUGUGUAUAACGUUCGACGUGUAGUGUACUCUUUAUAUUAAAAUACUUAACCUUAUUAUUUUGGGGCAAAGAUUUUUGUUUCGGCUGGUUUGAAAAUAGACUACCGGCGCAGCGAGGACCUCGACGAUCUCUUCAACAUGACUUCGAGUUCGAAAUCGCAAGGAUCCAGCCAAGGC